rnacentral:rRNA from 1 species
CCUACGGGUGGCAGCAGUGGGGAAUAUUGCACAAUGGGGGAAACCCUGAUGCAGCGACGCCGCGUGAGUGAAGAAGUAUUUCGGUAUGUAAAGCUCUAUCAGUAGGGAAGAAAAUGACGGUACCUGACUAAGAAGCCCCGGCUAAUUACGUGCCAGCAGCCGCGGUAAUACGUAGGGGGCAAGCGUUCUCCGGAUUUACUGGGUGGAAAGGGAGCGUAGGCGGUGUCGCAAGUCAGAAGUGAAAGCCCGUGGCUCAACCCCGGGGCUGCUUUUGAAACUGUGUGACUUGAGUGCAGGAGAGGUGAGCGGAAUUCCUGGUGUAGCAGUGAAAUGCGUAGAUAUCAGGAGGAACACCAGUGGCGAAGGCGGCUUACUGGACUGUAACUGACGUUGAGGCUCGAAAGCGUGGGGAGCAAACAGGAUUAGAUACCCGAGUAGUC